rnacentral:tRNA from 1 species
GCCGCGAUAGCCAAGUGGUUAGCACUGCGUACUGCCACUCGGUAGGCUCGGGUUCAAAUCCCGGUGCCAGCA